CCUACGGGGGGCUGCAGUGGGGAAUAUUGCACAAUGGGGGAAACCCUGAUGCAGCAACGCCGCGUGAGCGAUGAAGGCCUUCGGGUCGUAAAGCUCUGUCCCAAGGGAAGAAUACUGACGGUACCUUCGGAGGAAGCCACGACUAACUACGUGCCAGCGGACGCGGUAAUACGUAGGGGGCUAGCGUUAUCGGGAAUUACUGGGCGUAAGGGGUGCGUAGGCGGCCCUUCAAGUCAGAGGGGAAAGGUGACGACUCAACCGUAGUAAGCCUUAGAUACUGUAGGGAUAGAGUGCAGGAGAGGAGAGUUGAUUUCCCAGUUUAGCGGUGAAAAGCGUAUAUAUAGUUGGGAACAACAGUUGCGAAGGCGGCUCACUGGACUGUAACUGACGCUGAGGAACAAGAACGUGGGGAGGAAGCAGGAUGAGAUUCCCCGGUAAUC
rnacentral:rRNA from 1 species